rnacentral:rRNA from 1 species
UACGAAGGGGGCUAGCGUUGCUCGGAAUCACUGGGCGUAAAGGGCGCGUAGGCGGCGUGUCAAGUCAGGCGUGAAAGCCCCGGGCUCAACCUGGGAACCGCGCUUGAGACUGGCAUGCUCGAGUUCGGGAGAGGAUGGUGGAAUUCCCAGUGUAGAGGUGAAAUUCGUAGAUAUUGGGAAGAACACCGAUGGCGAAGGCAGCCAUCUGGACCGACACUGACGCUGAGGCGCGAAAGCGUGGGGAGCAAACAGGG